UACGGGGGGGGGUAAGCGUUGUUCGGAAUUACUGGGCGUAAAGGGCGCGUAGGCGGUGUGUCAAGUCAGGCGUGAAAGCCCCGGGCUCAACCUGGGAACCGCGCUUGAGACUGGCACGCUCGAGUUCGGGAGAGGAUGGUGGAAUUCCCAGUGUAGAGGUGAAAUUCGUAGAUAUUGGGAAGAACACCGAUGGCGAAGGCAGCCAUCUGGACCGACACUGACGCUGAGGCGCGAAAGCUAGGGGAGCAAACGGGG
rnacentral:rRNA from 1 species